ACCGGUUGAUCCUGCCGGACCCGACCGCUAUCGGGGUAGGGCUAAGCCAUGCGAGUCGCGCGCCCGGGGGCGCCCGGGAGCGGCGCACGGCUCAGUAACACGUGCCCAACCUACCCUCGGGAGGGGGACACCCCCGGGAAACUGGGGCCAAUCCCCCAUAGGGGAAGGGCGCUGGAAGGCCCCCUCCCCGAAAGGACGGCGGCCGAUCCGCCGCCGCCCGCCCGAGGAUGGGGGCACGGCCCAUCAGGUAGUUGGCGGGUUAAAGGCCCGCCAAGCCGAAGACGGGUAGGGGCGGUGAGAGCCGCGAGCCCCGAGAUGGGCACUGAGACAAGGGCCCAGGCCCUACGGGGUGCAGCAGGCGCGAAUACUCCGCAAUGCGGGAAACCGCGACGGGGCCACCCCGAGUGCCGGGCGAAGAGCCCGGCUUUUGCCCGGUGUAAGGAGCCGGGCGAAUAAGCGGGGGGUAAGUCUGGUGUCAGCCGCCGCGGUAAUACCAGCCCCGCGAGUGGUCAGGGUGAUUACUGGGCUUAAAGCGCCCGUAGCCGGCCCGGCAAGUCGCUCCUGAAAUCCUCGGGCUCAACCCGGGGGCAGGGGGCGAUACUGCCGGGCUAGGGGGCGGGAGAGGCCGCCGGUACUCCGGGGGUAGGGGCGAAAUCCUAUAAUCCCCGGAGGACCACCAGUGGCGAAAGCGGGCGGCCAGAACGCGCCCGACGGUGAGGGGCGAAAGCCGGGGGAGCAAAGGGGAUUAGAUACCCCUGUAGUCCCGGCUGUAAACGAUGCGGGCCAGCUGUCGGCUGGGCUUAGGGCCCGGCCGGUGGCGUAGGGAAACCGUUAAGCCCGCCGCCUGGGGAGUACGGCCGCAAGGCUGAAACUUAAAGGAAUUGGCGGGGGGGCACCACAAGGGGUGAAGCUUGCGGCUUAAUUGGAGUCAACGCCGGAAACCUUACCCGGGGCGACAGCAGGAUGAAGGCCAGGCUAACGACCUUGCCGGACGAGCUGAGAGGAGGUGCAUGGCCGUCGUCAGCUCGUGCCGUGAGGUGUCCGGUUAACCCGUGGAUGGGGGGUGAUCUUUAAACCCGUAGGCGCGGGUGAUCUCUAUGGAGAUCCUUGAGUACUUUGUCGGGUUUCUCUUGGGGGAUGGCUACCUCUAUCACUACAAGAAGGAGGGGAAGUACCUCGUCAGGGUUGCUGACAGUAACAAGGAGUUCUUAGAGAUGCUUAGAACUGAAAUGUUGUCUGCUGGCUAUAAAGGCCAUAUAUACAAGAUAAAAGGCCGAAACGCGUAUGUCCUGGAAUUUUCAAACAAGAAGCUGUAUUACUUAUGUCUUGAACUGGCCGCAAAUUUGCUGAAAAAUCCUACAGCUCCCUUUGUGGCAGGGCUGAUAGAUGCAGAGGGCUCGUUACAAAAGCCGCGAAGAGGGUCGUUAAGGCUGUGUUACCAACACAAACUUCACGUUGUUACAUGCGGUGUCCAACUAUCUGCGCCAGAUAGGCAUCGAGGCGACGCCGAAGCCGUAUGGAAAGACCCGGAGAGGGGAAAGACAGAGAUACCGCAUAAUAGUCUACGGGAAGGAAAAAAUUACAAGGAUUAUUUCGGCCAUCCCCCUGAGACAUACAAAAUUUUAUCCCCCACCACGGGGCCGAAAGUCCGGCAACGAGCGAGACCCCCACCCCUAGUUGCUUUCCCGCUCUUCGGGGCGGGAGGCACACUAGGGGGACUGCCGGCGUAAGCCGGAGGAAGGAGGGGGCCACGGCAGGUCAGUAUAGGGCCUCGGGCCGCGAGGCAGAGGCCCGCUGAAGCCCCGAAAGCCGUGGCCCCGCCCUUAUAUACCCCCAUCUAGAGGGGUAUGUGUCUAAACUCUGGGCCUACCUAGUGGGCUUAAUCGCCGCAGAUGGACACGUCGAGAAGAAGAGAGUUGUUCUUGCGCAGAAAGAUGUGAUAUAUCUAUCCCUGGUGUGGGCCAUGCUGGCGCGGCUAGGCGUCGCCGCCACGAAACCCUUCCUAGAUAGGAGAGCUGGCGUGUACAAGAUCUACAUAAACAGCCGCGAAUUCCGCCGGCGGGUAGUUGCUUACGUACCGAUGGGCAGAAAAAGCAACGUGUUGCCUCCUCCGCCGCUGGAGGGCGAGGAGGCCCUUAUGUACAUCGCUGGCUUCACCGAUGGAGACGGGUGGGUAGAACACGUCAUAAAGAAACGCGGAGAGAAGAGGUAUUGCUAUCUAAGAAUCGGGAUAAAGACAAAAAGCCAAAAACUCAGAGACUGGAUGCACGACACUCUGCUUAAACUCUGCAUAAGGGCGCACAAGGCCGACAAGAAAAGCGGAUAUGAAGUCCACAUCGACACCCCAGACCUAUACAGGCUAGGAGACCUCCUCCUAAAUCCCACCCACGUGAAAAAACUCGCCCUUCUCCAACGGGCGGGGCCCGGCCGGGAAACCCCGGGGCUGCACGCGAGCUGCAAUGGCGGGGACAGCGGGAUCCGACCCCGAAAGGGGGAGGCAAUCCCGUAAACCCCGCCCUGGUAGGGAUCGAGGGCUGCAACUCGCCCUCGUGAAUGUGGAAUCCCUAGUAACCGCGUGUCACCAACGCGCGGUGAAUACGUCCCUGCCCCUUAGGCGGGUUGCUGC
rnacentral:rRNA from 1 species